rnacentral:rRNA from 1 species
GGAUAACCGUUAUGAGUUUUGGUUNUUUAGUUCACUGAAGCUCGCACCGCAGUAUUGGAAAAGCCCUGGUAAAUUGGUUCUAAUACCGAAUAUGACCAUGCACUUCCUGGUGUGUGGUGGAAAGCUUUUGCGGUGUGGGAUGGGCCCGCGGCCUAUCAGCUUGUUGGUGGGGUAAUGGCCUACCAAGGCGACGACGGGUAGCCGGCCUGAGAGGGUGACCGGCCACACUGGGACUGAGAUACGGCCCAGACUCCUACGGGAGGCAGCAGUGGGGAAUAUUGCACAAUGGGCGCAAGCCUGAUGCAGCGACGCCGCGUGAGGGAUGACGGCCUUCGGGUUGUAAACCUCUUUCAGCACAGACGAAGCGCAAGUGACGGUAUGUGCAGAAGAAGGACCGGCCAACUACGUGCCAGCAGCCGCGGUAAUACGUAGGGUCCGAGCGUUGUCCGGAAUUACUGGGCGUAAAGAGCUCGUAGGUGGUUUGUCGCGUUGUUCGUGAAAACUCACAGCUUAACUGUGGGCGUGCGGGCGAUACGGGCAGACUUGAGUACUGCAGGGGAGACUGGAAUUCCUGGUGUAGCGGUGGAAUGCGCAGAUAUCAGGAGGAACACCGGUGGCGAAGGCGGGUCUCUGGGCAGUAACUGACGCUGAGGAGCGAAAGCGUGGGGAGCGAACAGGAUUAGAUACCCUGGUAGUCCACGCCGUAAACGGUGGGUACUAGGUGUGGGUUUCCUUCCUUGGGAUCCGUGCCGUAGCUAACGCAUUAAGUACCCCGCCUGGGGGAGUACGGCCGCAAGGGCUAAAACUCAAAGAAAUUGACGGGGGCCCCCCACAAGCGGCGGAGCAUGUGGAUUAAUUCGAU